rnacentral:misc_RNA from 1 species
ACAGGCUGUCGGGGGAGAACGGUUGGCCACACCCUUUGAAGAAAGGGGGUGGUGGAUGUGUCAGCAUUUGAGGCAAUGUACUUAAUGGUCGCAUUCGCAACACUUGUUGUGCUCAUCAUAAAACAGAAAUAACCGCCCCUGCCAAAGAUGCGGUUAUUUCUAAAUAAUCUCAAUCUGGGCUAACCGUUUCCCGGUUAGACAGCCUGUGGGGGCUGGCGUGUGUCGAGCACGUCAG